ACCGUAGGACACAAGCGUUAUCCGGAGUUACUGGGCGUAAAGGGCGCGUAGGCGGUCCGACAAGUCAGGGGUGAAAUCCUGCAGCUUAACUGCAGAAGUGCCUUUGAUACUGUCGGUCUUGAGGGAGAUAGGGGUGUGCGGAACUCACAGUGGAGCGGUGAAAUGCGUUGAUAUUGUGAGGAACGCCGGAGGCGAAAGCGGCGCACUGGAUCUCUUCUGACGCUGAGGCGCGAAAGCUAGGGGAGCAAACGGG
rnacentral:rRNA from 1 species